GACGAACGCUGGCGGCGUGCUUAACACAUGCAAGUCGAACGAAGAGCGAUGGAAGCUUGCUUCUAUCACUCUUAGUGGCGAACGGUUGAGUAACGCGUAAUCAACCUGCCCUUCAGAGGGGGACAACAGUUGGAAACGACUGCUAAUACCGCAUACGAUCUAAUCUCGGCAUCGAGGAUAGAUGAAAGGUGGCCUCUACAUGUAAGCUAUCACUGAAGGAGGGGAUUGCGUCUGAUUAGCUAGUUGGAGGGGUAACGGCCCACCAAGGCGAUGAUCAGUAGCCGGUCUGAGAGGAUGAACGGCCACAUUGGGACUGAGACACGGCCCAGACUCCUACGGGAGGCAGCAGUGGGGAAGCUUCCGCAAUGGACGAAAGUCUGACGGAGCAACGCCGCGUGAGUGAUGACGGCCUUCGGGUUGUAAAGCUCUGUUAAUCGGGACGAAAGGCCUUCUUGCGAAUAGUGAGAAGGAUUGACGGUACCGGAAUAGAAAGCCACGGCUAACUACGUG
rnacentral:rRNA from 1 species